rnacentral:rRNA from 1 species
GACGAACGCUGGCGGCGUGCCUAACACAUGCAAGUCGAGCGCUGAAGGUCGGUCCUUGUAGCCACUGGAUGAGGAGCGAACGGGUGAGUAACGCGUGGGGAAUCUGCCUUUGAGCGGGAGACAACAUUUGGAAACGAAUGCUAAUACCGCAUAAAAACUUGAAACACAAGUGUGAAGUUUGAAAGAUGCAAUUGCAUCACUCAAAGAUGAUCCCGCGUUGUAUUAGCUAGUUGGUGAGUUAAAGGCUCACCAAGGCGAUGAUACAUAGCCGACCUGAGAGGGUGGUCGGCCACCUGGGGACUGAGCCACGGCCCACACUCCUGCGGUAGGCAGCAGUCGGGAAUCUUCGGCAAUGGACGAGAGUCUGACAGAGCAACGCCGCGUGAGUGAAGAAGGUUUUCGGCUCGUAAAGCUCUGUUGGUAGUGAAGAACGUUGGUCCGAUUGGAAGGCUCGUCAAGGACCGGUACCGCACAAGAAGGGGCCGGCUACCUCCGU